rnacentral:rRNA from 1 species
GACGAACGCUGGCGGCGUGCUUAACACAUGCAAGUCGAACGGAAAGGCCCUGCUUUUGUGGGGUGCUCGAGUGGCGAACGGGUGAGUAACACGUGAGUAACCUGCCCUUGACUUUGGGAUAACUUCAGGAAACUGGGGCUAAUACCGGAUAGGAGCUCCUGCUGCAUGGUGGGGGUUGGAAAGUUUCGGCGGUUGGGGAUGGACUCGCGGCUUAUCAGCUUGUUGGUGGGGUAGUGGCUUACCAAGGCUUUGACGGGUAGCCGGCCUGGGAGGUUGACCGGCCACAAUGGGACUGAGAUACGGCCCAGACUCCUACGGGAGGCAGCAGUGGGGAGUAUUGCACAAUGGGCGGAAGCCUGAUGCAGCAACGCCGCGUGCGGGAUGACGGCCUUCGGGUUGUAAACCGCUUUCGCCUGUGACGAAGCGUGAGUGACGGUAAUGGGUAAAGAAGCACCGGCUAACUACGUG